ACGGCUGAGUAACGCGUGGGUGACGUACCUAUAGGUGGGGAAUAACUGCCCGAAAGGGUGGCUAAUACCGCAUACGCCCGUUGGAGUUGUUCAACGGGGAAAGCUUCGUAAGAGGCGCCGAUGGAGCGGCCCGCGUCCGAUUAGCUAGUUGGUGGGGUAACGGCCUACCAAGGCGACGAUCGGUAGCUGGUCUCAGAGGAUGAUCAGCCAGACUGGGACUGAGACACGGCCCAG
rnacentral:rRNA from 1 species